AACGAACGCUGGCGGCAUGCCUAACACAUGCAAGUCGAACGAGACCUUCGGGUCUAGUGGCGCACGGGUGCGUAACGCGUGGGAAUCUGCCCUUGGGUUCGGAAUAACAGUUAGAAAUGACUGCUAAUACCGGAUGAUGACUUCGGUCCAAAGAUUUAUCGCCCAGGGAUGAGCCCGCGUAGGAUUAGCUUGUUGGUGAGGUAAAAGCUCACCAAGGCGACGAUCCUUAGCUGGUCUGAGAGGAUGAUCAGCCACACUGGGACUGAGACACGGCCCAGACUCCUACGGGAGGCAGCAGUGGGGAAUAUUGGACAAUGGGCGAAAGCCUGAUCCAGCAAUGCCGCGUGAGUGAUGAAGGCCUUAGGGUUGUAAAGCUCUUUUACCCGGGAUGAUAAUGACAGUACCGGGAGAAUAAGCCCCGGCUAACUCCGUGCCAGCCGCCGCCGUAAAAC
rnacentral:rRNA from 1 species